AUUCACUUUUUUCCAGUUACUACAGCUGAUAGCAAGCGACUCAACGACAGCACAAAGAUGUCAGUAGGCUCGUUGGAAAGCUCAUAGCAGGCGACACGGCGGCAGUACGAAGAUGCCAGCAGGCUCGUUCGAAAGGUUGUCUAAUUUGCUUCACCUCAUUCACAUCAUCAUCCCUUCCCUAUAUAUAUAUAUAUGUAUAUAUAUAUGUGUUAAAACUGCGGGGGCGGCUGUGGAAAGGCCGGACGUCGCGGCGCUUGCGUCCCCGUGUGAAAUACGUAAAUAAAAGCGGGCGCGCUUCAAAUUUCGAACACACAUCCGUUGAACUCAGAGGCUCCAAAACCUUUGAAACUUCUUCAGCUACCAGAGAGAAAUUGGGAGAGAGAGAGAGAAGCCGAAACCGAUUCCAAAACCUUCUUCUUCUCCACCCGAAGUCCGAAGAAGCCCA